CAACUUUCAGCAAUGGAUCUCUUGGCUCUCGCAUCGAUGAAGAACGCAGCGAAAUGCGAUAAGUAAUGUGAAUUGCAGAAUUCAGUGAAUCAUCGAAUCUUUGAACGCAUCUUGCGCUCCUUGGUAUUCUGAGGAGCAUGCCUGUUUGAGUGUCAUU
rnacentral:rRNA from 1 species